GCAGAGGAGAGUUACCUGGCAAAGAUGAUUUAGUGAUGUUUGCCGUCUCAGGAUUUGGGAAAACCGUCUUGACACUGCAAAGAGAAGAGAAGGCAGUUUGAAAUGUUGGCAUGCUUUAUGAUGCUGCCCUGGAUUUUCCAGGGGUGGCUUUCAAAAAGUAGUUUUGAAAUCCUUAUUUUGCCUAAAUUUGUCUUGCUACCCAACCCCAUUUUAUGCACCCACUGGUAAAACUCUGUUCUCCCACUUGGGAGUCAACAACUCUUUCCUAGUGGUGGUAUUUGGGGUACAUAUUUCAAAGUCAUGCACAUGUCGCGCUCGCAGGUGUGAGAAAUGGUGGCGUCAAUCAACCGACAGAUCUGACUCUGGGAGGAGGGACCUGAUGGAGAAGGUAUUCCACGAGGAAGAAGCAGGAUGGGGAAAGGUGUGGAGGAGGGAAACCCGGGGCCCAGGGGAGGAUGCAAGUGGUCCAACUGGCAGAGCCAGGAAAGUUCCUUGUUCUGGGAUUCCAGCAUCCUGUCUCCCACUCAGGUGAGAACCCCCGGGGACUGGCAGGACACUCUCUGAAGAAUUCAUGGCAACAUUCUGGAGAGGAGUUGGCUCUAAUAACCAGGUAAGCCAAGAGAGCACAGCACCUAGACCCACAAGAGUUCAAGAACUUUCCUGACGUCUGCACCUCUGCAACCCCGU